rnacentral:rRNA from 1 species
GACGAACGCUGGCGGCGUGCUUAACACAUGCAAGCCGAACGAAGUGGCGAACGGGUGAGUAAUCCGUGGGUAACCUGCCCUCCAUUUUGGGAUAAGCCUUGGAGACGGGGUCUAAUAACGCAUAAAGGAGAAUGGGCUCGCUGCCUAUCAGCUUGCUGGUGAGGGGAUGACCUACCAAGGCGGUGACGGGUAGCCGGCCUGAGAGGGUGUCCAGCCACAUUGGGACUGGGGUACGGGCCGUAAUCCUUCGGGAGGCAGCAGGGGGUGAGAUUGCACAAUGGGCGAAAGCCUGAUGCAGCGAUGCCGCGUGGUGGAUGAAGGCUUGCGGGUUGUAAACCUCUGUCGCUAGCGAACGGGUAGGUGGAUGAGGGGCGCGGGCUGGCUAGGAGCCAGCAGCCGCGGUAAUAC